CCUACGGGAGGCAGCAGUGAGGAAUAUUGGUCAAUGGACGAGAGUCUGAACCAGCCAAGUCGCGUGAAGGAUGACUGCCCUAUGGGUUGUAAACUUCUUUUAUAAAGGAAUAAAACGAGGCACGUGUGCCUUUUUGCAUGUACUUUAUGAAUAAGGAUCGGCUAACUCCGUGCCAGCAGCCGCGGUAAUACGGAGGAUCCGAGCGUUAUCCGGAUUUAUUGGGUUUAAAGGGUGGGUAGAUGGGUUGUUAAGUCAGUUGUGAAAGUUUGCGGCUCAACCGUAAAAUUGCAAUUGAUACUGGCAGUCUUGAGUACAGUUGAGGUAGGCGGAAUUCGUGGUGUAGCGGUGAAAUGCUUAGAUAUCACGAAGAACCCCGAUUGCGAAGGCAGCUUACUAAACUGUGACUGACAUUGAUGCUCGAAAGUGUGGGGAUCAAACAGGAUUAGAUACCCGUGUAGUC
rnacentral:rRNA from 1 species